UUGCAGUCAAUUAAGCCGACCAUCAUUUGCUGCAAUCAGUUGCUGGUGUGCAAUGGCUGCAUACAUAAAGUUCCUUGGCUGUGUAUGUGCUUUGUUUACCAUACAGGGUACUCUAAGGGGCCUUGGAAACAUCC